rnacentral:rRNA from 1 species
UCAGGAUGAACGCUAGCGGCAGGCUUAACACAUGCAAGUCGAGGGGCAUCGGGAGUAGCAAUACUUGCCGGCGACCGGCGCAAGGGUGCGUAACGCGUGAGACAACAUGCCCGUAUCAGGGGGAUAAUCCAUGGAAACGUGGUCUAAUACCCCAUAGUAAUUAUGUAAGGCAUCUUAUAUAAUUUAAAGCUUUGGUGGAUACGGAUUGGCUCGCGUGACAUUAGCUAGAUGGUAAGGUAACGGCUUACCAUGGCUACGAUGUCUAGGGGUUCUGAGAGGAAGGUCCCCCACACUGGAACUGAGACACGGUCCAGACUCCUACGGGAGGCAGCAGUGAGGAAUAUUGGACAAUGGAUGGAAAUCUGAUCCAGCCAUGCCGCGUGCAGGAAGACGGCCCUAUGGGUUGUAAACUGCUUUUGUAUGGGAGCAAUAAGGGCUACGCGUAGUCCGAUGAGAGUACCAUACGAAUAAGCACCGGCUAACUCCGUGCCAGCCGCCGC